rnacentral:lncRNA from 1 species
CCCAAUUUUAAUAAAUGUUAUAUUUUUAAAAUAUUUUUUCAAUAUGAAAUCUAAGCUAAAAACGUGCCAGCUGCCGGCAAAAUAGUCACCUUUUGUAUCUUUUAUAAUACAGUAUAGUAUAAAGAAUUACCAGCUUAGUUUAAAAGUAUUAUUUGACAAAAUAUUGCUUUAUAGCUCACUUGCAUAGAACAAUGAAUUGAGAUUUAUUUAGUACAUAUAUAUUUUUUUAGGUGUAAAUGUGGGAACUGUAACACAAGUUUUUUAAAAAAUGCAAAGGAAUGUAAGUGUUGCAAGGAAGUUAAAGGAUGCCUGGCUGCUUUACAGAAAGAAAAUGUUAUACAAGCUGUUGGUGAAGAACCAAUAUGCAUUACAGGUCACCCAGGUUUUGCUUCAGUUUGCUUAAAUGCUUGGAGUCUACAUUUGUCAGCUGGUUUGUUCAAAACACGCCAAGAAAGGAAGUAUCAGAAAACUGGUGCUGAAGAAAGGUAUUAUAAGAUCAAAGUUAAUAGAAAACAUGACUGAAUUGGAACUCAUUAUCUUUGUAAGGAUAGGUAACUUAUGAAAGAAUUUGGUCUUUGCUCAUCAAGUGUACGGUAUUGUGCUGUAUUUUUGUCAUAUCCACAGACCACUAAUGAUCUUUCAUAAACUAACCAAUCUUUCACGUUACACAUGAAUAACCAGGCCAAAACAUUGUUUCUAGUGAGUUGGGUAAAAUCACAAUACACAUGUGAUAAGAAACAUUCUCAGGGAAAGGACCAAAUUUUUGGAUAGACCAAGACAAAAACACACAUGAGUUGUAUUGUUCUUAGAUUGAGUCUCUAAACCAUACCUUUUAUUAUAAGAUUGAAUGUAAAUUCAUUGCUAACUGAAAAUGCAUAUGGCUUUUGGGACAUAGCCAAAGUAAUAUAAGUGUGAUUCACCCAUACUCUUGCUACCCCGAGCUAGAAAAAUGUAUAAUCUACCCAAUCCUGGUGGAACUGGUCUAAAAGGGGGCAUUGAUACAAUUGGUACUGACUGAUAUCUAUAUUUGAUACCUAUAAAAUGCAUUCAGUUUACUUAGUACUUUUUUUACUUGCACAGGUUUCUUCGUAGUGUCUCAUAUAGACAAUUUACAAGAAUGGUGCAUGGUGUCAUUCGUGACAAAAGAAUCCCUUUACCUGCAUGUGCAUACCAUGCCAUCCGUACAACCUUUAAAGUGGUUGAUGAUAACUUUGUUGGAUAUGAGGAAGAUGAAAUAUAAAAAGUUAAUAUAUGGUAAAAGUUUAAAUUAUUGCUAAUACAAUGUUUGUAAGCACAUGUAUAUUAAUCAGUUCUGCCCAUACAGGCCAUAGGAGUGCUUAGCCAUUGCAGUUACUUCUGGUUUUUUGGGCAAUUAGCAACAUUUUUAUGACCUUUCAUGGGUUGUUUACAAAUGGAACAGUGUGGUUUUGCUCUUCCUGUUGUUUGAUCCUGGCUGACUGGAGCUUCUUGUACUAAAGUACAAAAUAGAAGGAGCCAAAUAGUUUAAUAUGUUUAAUUAAAGGAUGAGUGUCAGGGUCAUGCAUUGCAGGUGCAAAUUCCUUUCCUGCUGGUAUCCAUUUCAUGGGCCGACUAGGACUACUGAUCGGG